AUGCAGGGGCCCGACGGGAGCUCCAAAGGACGCUCCAGACUGGGCCCUUCCCACGCAGGCUGCCUCAUUCGGACAUCAGUAACUGUCCCCUCUGGAGAGCAGCGGGGCGGGAUCCAGGAGGGACCCCGUGGGGCACCCCUCCGGAGAGCAGCGGGGCGGGAUCCAGGAGGGACCCCAUGGGGCGCCCCUCCUGAGAGCAGCGGGAUGGGAUCCGGGAGGGACCCCGUGGGGCGCCCCUCCGGAGAGCAGCGGGGCGGGAUCCGGGAGGGAGGCCGUGGGGCGCCCCUCCGGAGAGCAGCGGGAUGGGAUCCGGGAGGGAGGCCGUGGGACGCCCCUCCGGAGAGCAGCGGGAUGGGAUCCGGGAGGGACCCCGUGGGGCACCCCUCUGAAGAGCAGCAGGGCGGGAUCCAGGAGGGAGGCCGCUGGGGCGCCCCUCCGGAGAGCAGCGGGGCGGGAUCCGGGAGGGACCCCGUGGGGCGCCCCUCCGGAGAGCAGCAGGAUGGGAUCCAGGAGGGAGGCCACUGGGGUGCCCCUCCAGAGAGCAGCGGGGCGGGAUCCGGGAGGGAGGCCGUGGGGCGCCCCUCCGGAGAGCAGCGGGAUGGGAUCCGGGAGGGAGGCCGUGGGACGCCCCUCCGGAGAGCAGCGGGAUGGGAUCCGGGAGGGACCCCGUGGGGCACCCCUCUGAAGAGCAGCAGGGCGGGAUCCAGGAGGGAGGCCGCUGGGGCGCCCCUCCGGAGAGCAGCGGGGCGGGAUCCGGGAGGGACCCCGUGGGGCGCCCCUCCGGAGAGCAGCAGGAUGGGAUCCAGGAGGGAGGCCACUGGGGUGCCCCUCCAGAGAGCAGCGGGGCGGGAUCCGGGAGGGACCCCGUGGGGCGCCCCUCCGGAGAGCAGCAGGAUGGGAUCCAGGAGGGAGGCCACUGGGGUGCCCCUCCAGAGAGCAGCGGGAUGGGAUCCCAGGAGGGACCCCGUGGGGCGCCCCUCCGAAGAGCAGCGGGGCGGGAUCCGGGAGGGAGGCCACUUCCCGCCAUCUGGGCGGCUCUUCUUCCAUGACUCGGGGAACUCUCCGGCGGGGACUCGGGCGCCCUCUCAGCCAGAACCGGCCCAGCCCCUGCUCGCGUGCCGAUGCCCCAGCCGCCCAAACAGAAGGCCUCCCUGUGAGCAAGUCGGACACGCCGGCCUGUGGUGUCCUGUGCCGGCAGGCGCUCAUCCUCCCCGUCGACCGGAGCGACCACCGAAGCACCAGAGCAGCUCCAAAAGGGCCCUCCUGAGUCGGGACAAGCGAGCCCGGGCGCUUCUGGCCGCCCCAGGCACGGGAAUUCCGAGGAGCUACAGGGCCUGCGCUCCUGCUCAUCCCUAG
ensembl:lncRNA